CGUGCGGUUCUAUUUUGUUGGUUUUUGGAAUCGCCGUAAUGAUUAAUAGGGAUAGUUGGGGGCAUUCGUAUUCAAUUGCUAGAGGUGAAAUUCUUGGAUUUAUUGAAGACGAACUACUGCGAAAGCAUUUGCCAAGGAUGUUUUCAUUGAUCAAGAACGAAGGUUAGGGGAUCGAAAACGAUCAGAUACCGUUGUAGUCUUAACCAUAAACUAUGCCGACUAGGGAUCGGACGGUGUUAUUUUUUGACCCGUUCGGCACCUUACGAGAAAUCAAAGUGCUUGGGCUCCAGGGGGGAGUAUGGUCGCAAGGCUGAAACUUAAAGGAAUUGACGGAAGGGCACCACCAGGUGUGGAGCCUGCGGCUUAAUUUGACUCAACACGG
rnacentral:rRNA from 1 species